CAGUCGCCGCGGUAAUACGAAGGGGGCUAGCGUUGUUCGGAUUUACUGGGCGUAAAGCGCACGUAGGCGGAUCGAUCAGUCAGGGGUGAAAUCCCAGAGCUCAACUCUGGAACUGCCUUUGAUACUGUCGAUCUGGAGUAUGGGAGAGGUGAGUAGAAUUCCGAGUGUAGAGGUGAAAUUCGUAGAUAUUCGGAGGAACGCCAGUGGCGAAGGCGGCUCACUGGUCCAUUACUGACGCUGAGGUGCGAAAGCGUGGGGAGCAAACAGGAUUAGAUACCCCAGUAGUCCCUGUCUCUUAUAC
rnacentral:rRNA from 1 species